UGGGGAGUCGUCUAACGGUAGGACGGGGGACUCUGGAUCCCUUAGUAGUGGUUCGAAUCCAUUCUCCCCAGCCA
rnacentral:tRNA from 1 species